rnacentral:lncRNA from 1 species
CAGCUUCACUGAUACACGAGGUGUCACAAGACAAUAUUGACAUUGAUAUAGAUCAGACUCAAAUUAAUGUUCAAAUAAAGAAAAUAGAUAUUGCUGUUUGUAAGCAAGCUACAACAAAUACAGAGAAUAAGAAAAUACAAUUGAAUGACCUCGACAUAGAAAAGGAAAACCUUACCGAUGAACAAAUAGAAAAAGUUAAAGAUUUGUUAAACAAGAACACCGAUAUAUUUUGUAAAAACGAUUUAGAUUUAGGAUAUACAGACAUUGUAAAGCAUAGAAUUCUUACAACAGACGAGAAACCAAUUGCGAUUCCACAUAGACGCAUUCCACCUAAUCAAAUGGAAGAAGUUAGA